ACGGCGACGGCGGACGGGUGGACGUAACNCGUAUGUAACCUACCUUUGACAGGGGGAUAACAUCGAGAAAUUGGUACUAAUACCCCAUAACAUCACCGGAGGCAUCUUCGGUGGUUGAAAACUCAGGUGGUCAGAGAUGGACAUGCGUUGUAUUAGCUAGUUGGUGAGGUAACGGCUCACCAAGGCGACGAUACAUAGGGGGACUGAGAGGUCAACCCCCCACAUUGGUACUGAGACACGGACCAAACUCCUACGGAAGGCAGCAG
rnacentral:rRNA from 1 species